UACGUAGGGUGCAAGCGUUAAUCGGAAUUACUGGGCGUAAAGCGUGCGCAGGCGGUUUUGUAAGUCUGACGUGAAAUCCCCGGGCUUAACCUGGGAAUUGCGUUGGAGACUGCAAGGCUAGAAUCUGGCAGAGGGGGGUAGAAUUCCACGUGUAGCAGUGAAAUGCGUAGAGAUGUGGAGGAACACCGAUGGCGAAGGCAGCCCCCUGGGUCAAGAUUGACGCUCAUGCACGAAAGCCAGGGGAGCAAACGGG
rnacentral:rRNA from 1 species